UGAGGAAUAUUGGUCAAUGGGCGCAAGCCUGAACCAGCCAUCCCGCGUGCAGGAAGACGGCCCUAUGGGUUGUAAACUGCUUUUCCAGGGGGAGAAACUUGCGCACGUGUUGCGCAAUUGACGGUACCCUGGGAAUAAGCAUCGGCUAACUCCGUGCCAGCAGCCGCGGUAAUACGGAGGAUGCGAGCGUUAUCCGGAUUCAUUGGGUUUAAAGGGUGCGUAGGCGGACUAUUAAGUCAGUGGUGAAAUCCUGCAGCUUAACUGCAGAACUGCCAUUGAUACUGAUAGCCUUGAGUUUGGUUAAGGUGGGCGGAAUGUGUAAUGUAGCGGUGAAAUGCUUAGAUAUUACACAGAACACCAGUUGCGUAGGCAGCUUACUGAGCCGACACUGACGCUGAGGCACGAAAGCGUGGGGA
rnacentral:rRNA from 1 species